rnacentral:misc_RNA from 1 species
GCCCCUCUUAUUGUGCUCUGCAACAAGCCAUGACUCAAAUGCUGAAAAGAGGAGCGAAGUGGCAAUACCUCCCAAAACACGGCCCAACAUUAGAACCUUGUAUUCAGGAGAAUGCUUGGUGAUGCAACUCAGAAUGUAUGUAAUACAAUAAGUAAUGCAAGCCCUCUUUCGACCUUGUUUGUCAGCUAGAGAACCAACAAUUGUACCAAACAACAUG